CGAACGAGCUCCUGAGCACUUUCGGGUUCAGGAAGAACCUCUUCCGCUGGUUUGGCGGGGUGGGACAACCUGUGAGGGUAGUUUGUGGGUUGACAUACUUUGCGUCAUCAUCUGAAGCUUCUGCCGGCCUUGGGACUCGGGCAGUGCCGGUGGUUUGUUCUUCAGACCCUUGGCCAGCCCCGAAGAGGACACACUGUCAUCUCGCUGCUGCACAAAAUUACGCGUUUACGAGUGCUUGUAAACAUCGAGGCCUUAAAAAUUCGUCCAGGUGAAAGUUACAGCGCAAUAAAAAGAUAAACAAGCAUCGACAAUUAGGCACGAGUCGUAUGAAGUUGUUAUCAAACGAU